CCCUGGUAGUCCACUCCGUAAACGUUGGGCGCUAGGUGUGGAAUCCAUUCCACGGGUUCGGUGCCGCAAGCUUACGCAUUAAGCGCCCCGCCUGGGAAGUACGNCCGCAAGGCUUAAACUCAAAGGAAUUGACGGGGGCCCGCACAAGCGGCGGAGCAUGCGGAUUAAUUCGAUGCAACGCGAAGGACCUUACCUGGGUUUGCCAUAUGNCAGAAAGCGCAGAGAUGGUGCCCCUUUUGGUCGGUAUACAGGUGGUGCAUGGCUGUCGUCAGCUCGUGUCGUGAGAUGUUGGGUUAAGUCCCGCAACGAGCGCAACCCUCGUCCUAUGUUGCCAGCACGUUAUGGUGGGGACUCAUAGGAGACUGCCGGGGUCAACUCGGAGGAAGGUGGGGAAUGACGUCAAGUCAUCAAUGCCCCUUAUGUCCAGGGCUUCACGCAUGCUACAAUGGCCGGUACAAAGGGCUGCGAUGCUGUAAGGCGGAGCGAAUCCCAAAAAGCCGGUCUCAGUUCGGAUUGGGGUCUGCAACUCGACCCCA
rnacentral:rRNA from 1 species